GACGUAGGGUCCGAGCGUUGUCCGGAGUUACUGGGCGUAAAGGACGCGUAGGCGGUUCCACGCGUCACACGUGAAAGCCCCUGGCUUAACCAGGGAGGGUCGUGUGAAACGGUGGAACUGGAGGCAGAGAGAGGCUGGUGGAAUUCCCGGAGUAGUGGUGAAAUGCGUAGAUAUCGGGAGGAACACCGGUGGCGAAGGCGGCCAGCUGGCUCUGACCUGACGCUGAGGCGCGAAGGCGUGGGGAGCGAACGGG
rnacentral:rRNA from 1 species